UUAAUAGCGGAAGGAGGAGGAGCUUAACAGAUAGUUCUUAUUGGCUGGGAGUGAUACAGGAAGCGGAGACGAGCCAUGCUGUUUCCAGGGCAGUAUGGGAGCUGUAGUCCAAAAGAGUGGAGUGGCAUGGUGAUGAUAUCUGGCAGGUUAUGGUUGCUCACACCUGUGCCCGCCGGUGUUGCCGCUGAGUGGUAUUUGGAAAGAAUCAGAAUCUGAUUGCCCAUCUAUUUUGAAAUGUGCAGAAAUUAUAGUUAGAAUUAAGCUAAGACAUUCCCUUCCUAAAUCUGUAUAAAAACAACCCUACCUUCGUCCACUAGGGGACACAGGGACAGUGGGAAUAGUAUGAAGAGGUAGAUUCUGGGCCCCAGAUACUAAAGGUUUCCCAACAGCCACAGGGUCCCACUCCACUAUACCCCACCCCAACCACUGACCAGCCAGUCUUCGGUUUGGUGCCAGCAGGAGUGGGCACCAUUUUAGCAGGGGAGCUGUAUUAGGUGGUCCCCCUGUUACUUUUAUUAUUUUAUUUCUUAGGUUUCCAGUAACUGAGCAGACAGUGUCAGGUGUCCUAUAGGAUGACCUCACCACCCUUCUCACACCCAUCGCCGGCGGCGGCAGCACCAGCAACUGGGUCAGUGACUUCUACCGCAGGCUGCCUAGGAGGGUUUGCACACAGUGCUCCUAGGAUUAUCCACAGCCGGGCACUUUGGGGAGAUAUGGACAGCUCCCUGGAGACCACCGGCAGUUUUGGUAGUGCAUUCCAGGGAAUCCCACUCUGUCCACUAGAUCACCAGGGCAAUCUUGGUAACAUGGUACAUUGACUCCAGCAUAAUACAGUGCCCUGGGGUCCAUUCCAGGGAAGAGGGGCCGGCUUCCCCUGUUAGCUCCACCCCCGACUACGCUUGAAAAGAGAUUAACAGCCCAUCCCAGGUCCUUCUCUCUCUACUCCCACAAGAAAGCUGGGCAGCCAUUAAUCCACAUUGCUGCCAUAGUACAGAGAGAGAUUUGGGCUUAUGUCUCCACUUGUACCUCACAUAUAUUACACCAUUAUAAAUGGUAUGAAGCAUGGAAUCAUACUACGUAAAACUACUCUCCUUGCACUUGCUUAUUAAUAAACUAAAAUCCUCUUAAA